GGUUGGAUCCCUGCCUCGUGCAGCGACGUCCAACCUUGCUCUCCUCUUCAAUGUUGGCACAAUUUACAUUGGCCGUCCAUCGGUUUCCUGUGUUUCGUACCUACAUGAUGGAAUUCGGUUGUCAAUCUUUAGCUGUUCGCUUUAGGCUGCUCGUUAACUCGGUGCGGUCACGAGUGAAACUCGAAACGAGAUUCGUGUCCCAUAUACUGUCAUUUCAUGUCGGUGUAUUGGUCCUUGAAUGCUCGCUCGGGCGCUGGGAUGCAGAAAACGAUGAGGGCACGGAGUCAUCGGCUCCUAUUUGUCCGCAAAAGGGCUUUAUUGCCUGUUUCGAACGACUUCGGUCCCGUUCCAGCCUUGUGCUGUGCGGGCUGAUGUCCGUGAGGAAUGCUAC
rnacentral:misc_RNA from 1 species